UAAACUACGUAAACUCGUACGAUCACCGAAGUUAAGCAGCGUAGAGCCAGGUCAGUACUUAGAUGGGGGACCGCUUGGGAACACCUGGUACUGUAAGC